AUGAAUUGCUUGAUUAAUCGGACUACAUGGUCACUGACAUCUCUUCCAACCCAGAAAAUCUGUGAUGAUCUUGGCCUUUGGAAGCAAAGAAGACAGUGGAAACUGUGGAGAAAUGUCAUAUCAGCUAAGUUUUGGAGUCUUGCAUUCUUGCAAAAGGUAUCCUUUCCGAAUCCCAGGGGUGCACCUCUUCACCUCACUAUAUCUUGGUGCCCAACGUUUUUGGCUCUCCUGAAAGCUACUCCUGUACCCUGGAUCGUCCAUGAGGACACAGCUUCUCAGUUGCCUCUAGGGAGAAAGCACUCAUGGAAGUCACCGAGAUGCCACUGCAACCUCUGCAACCAUCCCAGCCUGAAGCCCUGGACAUUGCCUACAGCCAAUGCCUUUCUCUCCUGACAAUAGGAAGGGACAGCUCUACAACCAUUCUCAGCUCCAAAGAAGCUACAGAAGACUGAGACCAUCACCCCUUUCCCCUUACAUAUUUGGAGAGGAGGGAGAUGACAUGGGCAUUGCAUCCCCAGAAACUCAGGCAAACCAUUAUCAGUGAAAUUCCUUUGCUCCCUUACAUCCUCAUGACUCUUAGCCUAAAACAUCUAGUGACCCCUAUAGGACCCUGAGAUGAUUGUGCUCCUUUGAUCCUCCUUUAGAUUUAAGAUGGACAGAGAGAUGCACCUCCAGGAUACACCUUGAUUCUAUCAGGCUACAUCUCAGACAUCUGGCUGUUCCCUAAAACUAAAGAAUCUUUUUAUGAGGGUCAUUCCCUAUGUCUCCAGGCAGACCCCAGUCAGAUGACCACUCCACUCCACCAAAUGCCUGAGUGACUACCACUCUAGAGUCAUGUCCAUACUGUGACACAGCAUUUGUUGCAAGAGUGUAAAAUCCCCAGAACUGAUAUCAUCUGGGGGACAUCUUUUCCAUCCAUGCUGUCCUCCCAGGGUGACAUCUUUUCCAUCCAAGGUGUCCUCCCAGGGUGAUAGCCUUUCUAUCCAUGCUGUCCUCCCAAGACGCAGCCUUCCAUCUUGCUUUUCUACCUGUACCAACCUCCUGGCCAUUCUCAACUUUACUCUCUAAAUUAAUAAAUUUCUCUUUAUUUUUAAGCUAAGUUUUGGA
rnacentral:lncRNA from 1 species